UCCCAGUGGAGCUCUGCAAGGAC
rnacentral:miRNA from 1 species